rnacentral:rRNA from 1 species
UACGUAGGGCGCAAGCGUUAUCCGGAAUUAUUGGGCGUAAAGAGCUCGUAGGCGGUUUGUCGCGUCUGCCGUGAAAGCCCCGGGCUCAACCCGGGAAGUGCACUCGAUACUGUCGAGCUAGAGUAUCGGAGAGGUUGGUGGAAUUCUCGGUGUAGAGGUGAAAUUCGUAGAUAUCGAGAGGAACACCGGUGGCGAAGGCGGCCAACUGGACGAAUACUGACGCUGAGACUCGAAAGCGUGGGGAGCAAACAGG